UACGUAGGGGGCGAGCGUUGUCCGGAAUUACUGGGCGUAAAGAGAGCGUAGGCGGCACUACAAGUCUCAUGUGAAAUACCCGGGCUUAACUUGGGGGUUGCAUGGGAAACUGUAGAGCUUGAGUACAGGAGAGGCAAGCGGAAUUCCUAGUGUAGCGGUGAAAUGCAUAGAUAUUAGGAGGAACACCAGUGGCGAAGGCGGCUUGCUGGACUGAAACUGACGCUGAGGCUCGAAAGCGUGGGGAGCAAAUAGG
rnacentral:rRNA from 1 species